GAUGAAGAACGUAGCGAAAUGCAAUACUUGGUGUGAAUUGCAGAAUCCCGUGAACCAUCGAGUCUUUGAACGCAAGUUGCGCCCGAAGCCAUUAGGCCGAGGGCACGCCUGCCUGGGCGUCACACGUCGUUGCCCCCCCAUCUACUCCUUCGGGAUUGCGGGGGGCGGAUGAUGGCCUCCCGUGCGCCUCGUCGCGCGGUUGGCAUAAAUGCCAAGUCCUCGGCGACGCACGCCACGACAAUCGGUGGUUGCGAAACCUCGGUUGCCCGUCGUGUGCGGUCGUCGCGCAUCGAGGGCUCGAAAAAAUUGUCGGGCUCCGGCUCGGCUUUCAACGCGACCCCAGGUCAGGCGGGGUUACCCGCUGAAUUUAAGCAUAUCAAUAAGCGGAGGA
rnacentral:misc_RNA from 1 species